AGUGAACGCUGGCGGUAGGCCUAACACAUGCAAGUCGAACGGCAGCACAGUAAGAGCUUGCUCUUACGGGUGGCGAGUGGCGGACGGGUGAGGAAUACAUCGGAAUCUACUUUUUCGUGGGGGAUAACGUAGGGAAACUUAUGCUAAUACCGCAUACGACCUACGGGUGAAAGCAGGAGAUCUUCGGACCUUGCGCGAUUGAAUGAGCCGAUGUCGGAUUAGCUAGUUGGCGGGGUAAAGGCCCACCAAGGCGACGAUCCGUAGCUGGUCUGAGAGGAUGAUCAGCCACACUGGAACUGAGACACGGUCCAGACUCCUACGGGAGGCAGCAGUGGGGAAUAUUGGACAAUGGGCGCAAGCCUGAUCCAGCCAUACCGCGUGGGUGAAGAAGGCCUUCGGGUUGUAAAGCCCUUUUGUUGGGAAAGAAAAGCAGCAGGUUAAUACCCCGCUGUUCUGACGGUACCCAAAGAAUAAGCACCGGCUAACUUCGUG
rnacentral:rRNA from 1 species